rnacentral:rRNA from 1 species
UACGAAGGGGGCUAGCGUUGCUCGGAAUUAUUGGGCGUAAAGGGCGCAUAGGCGGUUUGACAAGUCUGAUGUGAAAUCUAUGGGCUCAACCCAUAGCCUGCAUUAGAAACUGUCGGGCUUGAGUAUGGGAGAGGUGAGUGGAAUUUCCGGUGUAGCGGUGAAAUGCGUAGAUAUCGGAAGGAACACCUGUGGCGAAAGCGGCUCACUGGACCAUAACUGACGCUGAGGCGCGAAAGCUAGGGGAGCAAACAGG